GACGAACCGUGCGACCGUUGUUCGGAAUCACUGGGCUUAAAGGGCGCGUAGGCGGGCUGUCAAGUCUGGGGUGAAAUGCCGCGGCUCAACCGUGGAACUGCCUCAGAUACUGACGGCCUCGAGGGAGGUAGGGGCGUGCGGAACUGUAGGUGGAGCGGUGAAAUGCGUUGAUAUCUACAGGAACUCCGGUGGCGAAAGCGGCGCGCUGGACCUCUUCUGACGCUGAGGCGCGAAAGCUAGGGGAGCAAACGGG
rnacentral:rRNA from 1 species